AGAGUUUGAUCCUGGCUCAGGACGAACGCUGGCGGCGUGCCUAAUACAUGCAAGUAGAACGCUGAAGAGAGGAGCUUGCUCUUCUUGGAUGAGUUGCGAACGGGUGAGUAACGCGUAGGUAACCUGCCUUGUAGCGGGGGAUAACUAUUGGAAACGAUAGCUAAUACCGCAUAACAAUGGAUGACCCAUGUCAUUUAUUUGAAAGGGGCAAAUGCUCCACUACAAGAUGGACCUGCGUUGUAUUAGCUAGUAGGUGAGGUAACGGCUCACCUAGGCGACGAUACAUAGCCGACCUGAGAGGGUGAUCGGCCACACUGGGACUGAGACACGGCCCAGACUCCUACGGGAGGCAGCAGUAGGGAAUCUUCGGCAAUGGGGGCAACCCUGACCGAGCAACGCCGCGUGAGUGAAGAAGGUUUUCGGAUCGUAAAGCUCUGUUGUAAGUCAAGAACGAGUGUGAGAGUGGAAAGUUCACACUGUGACGGUAGCUUACCAGAAAGGGACGGCUAACUACGUGCCAGCAGCCGCGGUAAUACGUAGGUCCCGAGCGUUGUCCGGAUUUAUUGGGCGUAAAGCGAGCGCAGGCGGUUUGAUAAGUCUGAAGUUAAAGGCUGUGGCUCAACCAUAGUUCGCUUUGGAAACUGUCAAACUUGAGUGCAGAAGGGGAGAGUGGAAUUCCAUGUGUAGCGGUGAAAUGCGUAGAUAUAUGGAGGAACACCGGUGGCGAAAGCGGCUCUCUGGUCUGUAACUGACGCUGAGGCUCGAAAGCGUGGGGAGCGAACAGGAUUAGAUACCCUGGUAGUCCACGCCGUAAACGAUGAGUGCUAGGUGUUGGAUCCUUUCCGGGAUUCAGUGCCGCAGCUAACGCAUUAAGCACUCCGCCUGGGGAGUACGACCGCAAGG
rnacentral:rRNA from 1 species